rnacentral:rRNA from 1 species
UACAGAGGGUGCAAGCGUUAAUCGGAUUUACUGGGCGUAAAGCGCGCGUAGGCGGCUAAUUAAGUCAAAUGUGAAAUCCCCGAGCUUAACUUGGGAAUUGUCUUCGAUACUGGUUAGCUAGAGUGUGGGAGAGGAUGGUAGAAUUCCAGGUGUAGCGGUGAAAUGCGUAGAGAUCUGGAGGAAUACCGAUGGCGAAGGCAGCCAUCUGGCCUAACACUGACGCUGAGGUGCGAAAGCAUGGGGAGCAAACAGGG